rnacentral:rRNA from 1 species
UACGGGGGGGGGCAAGCGUUGUUCGGAAUUACUGGGCGUAAAGGCUCGUAGGCGGCCAACUAAGUCAGACGUGAAAUCCCUCGGCUUAACCGGGGAACCGCGUCUGAUACUGGAUGGCUUGAGUUUGGGAGAGGGAUGCGGAAUUCCAGGUGUAGCGGUGAAAUGCGUAGAUAUCUGGAGGAACACCGGUGGCGAAGGCGGCAUCCUGGACCAACACUGACGCUGAGUGAGCGAAAGCCAGGGGAGCAAACGGG